AUGAAAUUGAUCCAAAGCAUCAACACCCUUGAUUUUUGGAAUAAGCACAAUGAUGUUAGAGUUGAACCCAAGAAGAAUCCAUCCAGAAUUAAGAAAAUUCAUAACCGCAUUCAAAACAUCCUCCUUGAUGAUAUCUCAGUAAGUCUGAAAAAACGUUGCCCCAAACACGUCCAGACCCGACACACUAUCUUUAUUCAGAGCGAAAACAACAACAGAAAUUUCACCUAA